rnacentral:tRNA from 1 species
GCGGAUGUGGCGGAAUGGCAGACGCACAAGACUCAAAAUCUUGCGGGGGUGACCUCGUGUGGGUUCAAGUCCCACCAUCCGCACGA